rnacentral:lncRNA from 1 species
GCUUCAGCAGACAUCGCCUUCAGGGGUUUCCUCAGCUGCAGGAUAUUCUGCAUUUUUCAGGGGGAUCUAUGCCUGAGAUGGACAAGUAUGGUCACGUUGCCUAACCUGGAUCAACUGUGGAAGGCCAGUCCAACUCCAGGUUAGAGCCUGUUUCCUAGGAAACCCAGCUGUGAUGAAAACUCAGAAUCAAGGACCCCUAUGGUCCCAAAACUCUUUAAGAGAUUAUUUGUGCUGGGGGUGGUAGUCCCAGCAUGCAGGAGGUAGAGGCAAGAGCAUGUCCGUAAAUUCCAGGCCAGCCUGGUUUACACAGAAAGUUCCAGGCUGGGCUACAGUAUGCUACCUUGUUUCAAACAAGGGCAAAAAAAAAAAAAAAAAAAAAAAAAAAAAAAAAAAUGGUGUCAGUGCAAUGUCUUAGCAGGUAAAGGCUCCUCCCAGUAGAACUGCUGACCUGAGUUCUGUCCCAGAACCUACCAACACAUGUGUGCACACUCGCACAUGCGCGCGCGCACACACACACACAUACACAAAACAUACAUAGUGGAAAAUAAAAUUCGACUUAAUCCAAAUUUCACAUAUUGAAUGCUCUUGUUCUGUUUGGGUUUGCUUGCUUCCUUUUACUAAGAUCUACUUUUUGUUCUUGAAUUUUCCGUCGAUUUCAGUCGCAGACCUUCUGUUCAAUGAAGAGGCCCUCUUGGCUUAAAAACCGGACUACAUUUAAGUCUGUCAUGCCUGGCAGAGUUAUCGUUCACACAAUCAAAACUUAAGUUGGUUAAAAAAAAAAGAACCCAAAAGUUGUCAAUUCGAUAACACGCACAAGGGAUUGUCAAGAGUAUCUGCCAUGCUUGCUAAAAUUCAAACUUUGUUUCUAUUGUUUUCCACCUUCAGCUUUUAACAGCACAAAGGCCAAAUUUAAGGCUCAGAGUGAUGCCUCCCUCUGCCCACAGGCCAUGAGAUUAGCUAGACCAUCAACAUCCCCGCUGUGUGCAGGCACAGCUGAAGACUCUGUUGUAACAACCUGUAUGCCCUCGGUACUCUUUCCUUUGUCAGUGACUUCCUGCAAAGACAGGGACAGUUGCCCCAUAUUCUUUUAUCUGCCCCCCAUCCCUUCUGGGGAUAGGUCCAUCCCGCCUGCCUUCCAUAAAUGGCUAUCUCUUAGACAUGUCUUCCUCCCAGAUUGGGGGGUUGGUUCUGUAGAUGCUUAUAUUAAAGCAGUGGCUUCAAGGACAGGCAAGUGCAUAGUUUCCCCUAAACUAUGGACCACAAGUCUAUUCUAUGCCCCCUUCUAAAUAAAGCAGGAAAACUGAAGGCCAGAGGAAGAAGCUGGAGUUACAGCCCCAGUUCCCUGGCCUUCUUCCAGAAGACGUCCAAGAUCAAAGAAUGCUGUGCGUCCUACUUACAUCCUGUGACUUCCAUUGCAGAGCUAGCUGCACCUCUCUCUGGAGCACAUGCGAGAAUGAACAAAACGUUCAGGUUUUGUUAUGGCAGGCAGGAUGUGCCUAGACUCCAGUCUUUUAAUCCUGAGCUGUGUUUUCUGCUCUGUUAUACGUGACCCUUUCCAAGCAAAGACAUGUCCCAAAGCAUGGUUAAGUGGCAAGGACAAGAGAUGUGACUGUACUGAAGAGAAGCUGUCCUGGAGCACACACAGAGUUGGCUCUGCUAGGUUUUGGUCACUAUAUUUGAUGCGGUUGAGAGAGGAGCUGGUUGAGGCCCCAGCAUGGUCGUGUGUGUAACAAUACUUCUACUAAUCACAAAGCUGAGGCAGGGGGCUUGUAAGCUGAGGCCAACUUGAAUUACAUAGUGAGUUCUGAACCAGACAGGGCAAUUUCGUGAGGCUCCGUCUCAAGAUGAAAUUAAAAAGGCACAGAGCUGUAACUCCAUGGCACUACCAUGCAAGACCUUGGAUUUAAUUCUCAGUACUGGGCAAGUAGAAACCAAACAAAACCCAAGCCAUGCAUUGGCCAAGACUUUUUUUGAAGCAAGACUGGAUCAGGACUCCCUCAUUUAGUGAACAGAGUUCUCCUGCCCCCACCACCAUAUACAAAAUGAAUUCGCAGGACCAAUAAAGAAAGACACCUCUGGG